UACGGAGGGUGCGAGCGUUAUCCGGAUUCACUGGGUUUAAAGGGUGCGUAGGUGGGUAGGUAAGUCAGUGGUGAAAUCUUCGAGCUUAACUCGGAAACUGCCAUUGAUACUAUUUAUCUUGAAUACUUUGGAGGUAAGCGGAAUAUGUCAUGUAGCGGUGAAAUGCUUAGAUAUGACAUAGAACACCAAUUGCGAAGGCAGCUUACUACACAGUCAUUGACACUGAGGCACGAAAGCGUGGGGAUCAAACAGG
rnacentral:rRNA from 1 species